UUUCAACUCGCAUCCUUGUCGUCUCGUAGGAGUAUUUGGAGAAGUCGCUGGUUGGCCGUGUACCAGUAAGCGUGUUUGUAAUAGAGUGAAAAAGCGCGGUCAGGAUUGCUGAUGCAAUCCUCCUUAUUCCUUGUGCAAGCAUAUCCUGUAUUCCUAUUUAAGUCUUUUUGUUUCCCAUAUAACUAUUGAAAGCAAGCUAAGAAAUACCUUGGUUACUAUGGUCAAAUCGUCCCCGCCACGUUGUUACACUGGGGACGGGUACCAUUAACGUUGAGAAGAAGAAGUCUCGUAGGAGUUUUCGAUGCGAGCGAGUUUUUCGAAGCUUAUAAAUAACUCUAUUCAUGCGACUCCAAGUGCUUACCAACAGCUGGUUCCGAAAGAUGUAGCACAAUCUUCUUACUACGCCCAAAGGCAAAUGGACCGGGAUUCUCCUCUUCAAAGAAAACGAUAUGUCUAAGCGACAACGACAAACAAGUAUUACCUCGUGAGAUAUCACCGGGCCUGCCCCAGAGUAUUCUGUGACUAGUUAGGAUUAAUUCGCCACUUUCGAAAUUUGUCUAUCGAAAUGCAAAAAAAGAAAAUUAAAUACAA